UAGGUGGGUUCCGGAGAUCCAUUUGGAAAUGAAGCGACUCAAGAAGUAGCCGUUGGCAUGGGCGGAAUUCGUACUGCCGGAGAUCUGGUAUUACGUCUGC
rfam:Desulfitibacter sp. BRH_c19 BRHa_1003991, whole genome shotgun sequence.